ACCAAAGCAACAAAACAAUCAAUGGGGUCUCCAAUGGCCUACUUAGCAGCAACUUUGCUUGUUUUAACAGUCUCUCUGACCUUUGUAUCUCAAUCAACCGCUAACUACUUCUAUUCUUCUCCUCCACCACCUGUUAAGCACUACGAAUACAAAUCACCACCUCCUCCGGUUAAGCACUACCCUCCCCCUCCGGUUUAUCAUUCUCCACCACCACCUAAGAAACACUACGAAUAUAAAUCUCCACCUCCUCCAGUUAAACACUACUCUCCACCACCGGUUUACCACUCUCCACCACCCCCAAAGAAGCACUACGUGUACAAAUCCCCGCCACCCCCGGUUAAGCACUACUCUCCUCCUCCCGUUUACCAUUCUCCACCACCACCAAAGAAACACUACGUGUACAAGUCCCCUCCUCCUCCGGUUAAACACUAUUCUCCUCCUCCGGUUUACCACUCUCCACCACCUCCUAAGAAGGACUACGUCUACAAAUCUCCACCCCCACCGGUUAAGCACUACUCUCCCCCACCAGUCUACCACUCACCACCACCACCCAAGAAACAUUACGUAUACAAAUCUCCUCCUCCUCCGGUUAAACACUACACACCGCCUCCAGUUUACCAUUCCCCACCCCCACCUAAAAAACAUUACGUCUACAAAUCUCCUCCUCCUCCAGUGAUGCACUAUUCUCCUCCUCCGGUUUACCACUCUCCACCACCACCAAAGAAACACUAUGUGUACAAAUCUCCUCCUCCUCCGGUUAUGCACUACUCCCCUCCUCCGGUUUACCACUCUCCACCACCACCAAAGAAACACUACGUGUACAAAUCUCCUCCUCCGCCGGUUAAACAUUAUCCCCCACCGGUUUACCACUCUCCACCACCACCAAAGAAACACUACGUGUACAAAUCCCCUCCUCCUCCAGUGAAGCACUACUCUCCCCCUCCGGUUUACCAUUCCCCACCCCCACCAAAGAAGCACUACGUAUACAAAUCCCCUCCUCCUCCGGUUAAGCACUAUUCUCCUCCUCCAGUUUACCAUUCCCCACCGCCACCAAAGGAAAAGUACGUAUAUAAAUCACCUCCUCCUCCUCCAGUCCACCACUACUCUCCCCCACACCAUCCUUACCUCUACAAAUCUCCUCCUCCUCCAUACCACUAUUAGAAUUCUCUGUCACGGUAAUAACUUUCCCAAUACUUACAUUUACACACCUCAUUAAGUUAACUUGUAAAAAGCCUAUAUGGAUGCAUGCAUGAGAAUAUUUAUAUCGUAUAGUAUAAACUUUUGUAGGAGAACACGAUGUGCAC
rnacentral:lncRNA from 1 species